UGUUGUAGUCCAUGAAGUCAAGUGCAAGCUGUAUGUCAAGUCAAGUGAUCCAGCAGAUAAAGACACAUGGAAAGACAAAGGUACCGGGCAGCUUUCUAUCAAACGCAAAGAGGAUGUAGCCAAGGGUACAAAAGAGUCGAAACCGACAAUAGUUGUUCGAAAUGAUGUCGGAAGAGUGUUAUUAAAUGCUUUGCUAUAUCCAGGAAUCAAGACAAAUGCACAAAAGAAUUCCCUUGUUGCAAUAUUUCAUACUGCGGGCGAGGAUGGUGGCAACAGUGAUAACGUUGUGGCACGCACCUUCUUAAUUAGGACAAAAACAGAGGAGGAUCGAAAUAAAUUGGCAACAGCAAUACAAGAAUAUGCUCCUGCAUCAUGAUGGUAAUUGUAUGACAUUAUUCUCAAAUUUUGCAGUAAUCAAGCUUAUUAGGAACUAAGCCAACUUAUGGGAGCCAAAAAUAACCGG
rnacentral:misc_RNA from 1 species